AAAUUUCUGAAUCCGUGACUAGAUUUCGUCAGACGCCAACCCAUAUGAACUGAUGAGACUUCCAAGAUAAGUGAAAUA
rfam:Schistosoma mattheei strain Denwood, Zambia genome assembly, scaffold: SMTD_scaffold0023836